rnacentral:rRNA from 1 species
CAGCAGCCGCGGGAAUACGGAGGAUCCAAGCGUUAUCCGGAAUCAUUGGGUUUAAAGGGUCCGUAGGCGGUCUUGUAAGUCAGUGGUGAAAGCCCAUCGCUCAACGGUGGAACGGCCAUUGAUACUGCAGGACUUGAAUUAUUGGGAAGUAACUAGAAUAUGUAGUGUAGCGGUGAAAUGCUUAGAGAUUACAUGGAAUACCAAUUGCGAAGGCAGGUUACUACCAAUUGAUUGACGCUGAUGGACGAAAGCGUGGGUAGCGAACAGGAUUAGAUACCCCAGUAGUCCCUGUCUCUUAUAA